rnacentral:lncRNA from 1 species
CAGCCUCACCCGUUGUAUGCUCUGCUUACUGUUACAGGUGCAAGUGAAAUAAAAUGGAGGCAACCUUUUCCUUCUUGUGCAAGUAAGACAGGGAAAUCUCCUGGGCUCUCGGGUUGAUCACAGGAAAGACAGCUGUGCUCAGACUCCAGCAGAAGUGGCAUGUGUAUGGAAGCAGGCAUGCCAUGAAACAAGAAGUCCUGCACACUGU